GACGUAGGGCGCGAGCGUUGUCCGGAUUUAUUGGGCGUAAAGAGCGUGUAGGCGGCCAGGUAGGUCUGCUGUGAAAACUCGAGGCUCAACCUCGAGAUGUCGGCGGAAACCGUCUGGCUAGAGUCCGGAAGAGGAGAGUGGAAUUCCUGGUGUAGCGGUGAAAUGCGCAGAUAUCAGGAAGAACACCUAUGGCGAAGGCAGCUCUCUGGGACGGUACUGACGCUGAGACGCGAAAGCGUGGGGAGCGAACAGG
rnacentral:rRNA from 1 species